rnacentral:rRNA from 1 species
UACGUAGGGGGCUAGCGUUGUCCGGAAUCAUUGGGCGUAAAGAGCGUGUAGGCGGCCCGGUAAGUCCGCUGUAAAAGUCAAAGGCUCAACCUUUGAAUGUCAGUGGAUACUGCCGGGCUAGAGUCCGGAAGAGGCGAGUGGAACUCCUGGUGUAGCGGUGGAAUGCGCAGAUAUCAGGAGGAACACCGAUGGCGAAGGCAGCUCGCUGGGACGGUACUGACGCUGAGGCGCGAAAGCGUGGGGAGCGAACAGG